rfam:Picea glauca, whole genome shotgun sequence.
ACAUGUCUACAACAUAGCGUUAAUGCACUGGAUCCCAUUAGAACUUUGCAGUUAAGUGCACUCGUGCUAGAGUAGUACUGGGAUGGGUGACUGCAGGGAAUUCCUAGUGUUUUACAUGCC